GUCUGGGUCCCAGUCACCAGACUGCGAAACUGCGAAUGGCUCGUUAAAUCAGCUAUGGUUCCUUUUAUCGCUUCAACUGUUACUUGGAUAACUGUGGGAAUUCUAAAGAUAAUACAUGCCGACGUACACUAGGGGACGGCCUCUCUGCUCUUGCACCCUACUCAAAAUUGCACACGUCACUCGCAUGACCUUCAUUCCAUGUGGGGUGUUGGACCUCAUCAUCCUCCUGCACACUGCACACUGCAGAAAGCCACAGCAGUUGGCACCUGUGUUUGUACAGCAUGUAAAGUCUGCAAAGGACAAAUGGGAAUUGUUUUAGGAUUGUAUCCAGGCAACAUUUUUCCCUAUAAACUGACCUCUCAGUUUGACUUGUGAG